AAUCCGUAGAUUGAACGCUGGCGGCAUGCCUUACACAUGCAAGUCGAACGGCAGCACGGGUGCUUGCACCUGGUGGCGAGUGGCGAACGGGUGAGUAAUACAUCGGAACAUGUCCUGUAGUGGGGGAUAGCCCGGCGAAAGCCGGAUUAAUACCGCAUACGAUCCACGGAUGAAAGCGGGGGACCUUCGGGCCUCGCGCUAUAGGGUUGGCCGAUGGCUGAUUAGCUAGUUGGUGGGGUAAAGGCCUACCAAGGCGACGAUCAGUAGCUGGUCUGAGAGGACGACCAGCCACACUGGGACUGAGACACGGCCCAGACUCCUACGGGAGGCAGCAGUGGGGAAUUUUGGACAAUGGGCGAAAGCCUGAUCCAGCAAUGCCGCGUGUGUGAAGAAGGCCUUCGGGUUGUAAAGCACUUUUGUCCGGAAAGAAAUCCUUGGCUCUAAUACAGUCGGGGGAUGACGGUACCGGAAGAAUAAGCACCGGCUAACUACGUGCCAGCAGCCGCGGUAAUACGUAGGGUGCAAGCGUUAAUCGGAAUUACUGGGCGUAAAGCGUGCGCAGGCGGUUUGCUAAGACCGAUGUGAAAUCCCCGGGCUCAACCUGGGAACUGCAUUGGUGACUGGCAGGCUAGAGUAUGGCAGAGGGGGGUAGAAUUCCACGUGUAGCAGUGAAAUGCGUAGAGAUGUGGAGGAAUACCGAUGGCGAAGGCAGCCCCCUGGGCCAAUACUGACGCUCAUGCACG
rnacentral:rRNA from 1 species